GUCACGGUCAGAGGUCACUCAGCAGCAGGAGAAAGGAGGGAGAUCACCUGCUGGGCAUGGAGCUGGAAACAGUCAUCUACAUCUGCAGGACAAAGUGACGACAUGGCAGGUGACUGUCCUCUCUGAUUGACCUGAGCUCUGAGGUCAUCAGUGACACCUCGUGCAUGAAUGAAGUUUUCUGAAGACAUCCUGUGUGACUCUGCUGACAUCACCGUGCCUCUGUCAUUACAUCACAUCCUGUGACUGUGUCAUUAUGAUCCACUGUGAGCUCAGGAUCCUGAUGGACAGUUUCACGUGUUAUUUCUCUGCUUCAGGAUCGUCUUGAGUGUCGGUGGGGUCACAUUAUUUUAGCCUGAAGAUGAUGGUGGAUGAAUUUUUAUUGAAGUCUUUCUCCGGUUUUUGAGCCCUGAUGUUUUCUGCUUUGAUCUGUGAUUUUUAUUUAUUUUUCUUAUUAUUGAUAACUCAUCUACGGAAAACAAUCACAUUACCUGUAAG